GAUGAACGCUGGCGGCGUGCCUAAUACAUGCAAGUCGAGCGAACAGACGAGGAGCUUGCUCCUCUGACGUUAGCGGCGGACGGGUGAGUAACACGUGGAUAACCUACCUAUAAGACUGGGAUAACUUCGGGAAACCGGAGCUAAUACCGGAUAAUAUAUUGAACCGCAUGGUUCAAUAGUGAAAGACGGUUUUGCUGUCACUUGUAGAUGGAUCCGCGCCGCAUUAGCUAGUUGGUAAGGUAACGGCUUACCAAGGCAACGAUGCGUAGCCGACCUGAGAGGGUGAUCGGCCACACUGGAACUGAGACACGGUCCAGACUCCUACGGGAGGCAGUAGUAGGGAAUCUUCCGCAAUGGGCGAAAGCCUGACGGAGCAACGCCGCGUGAGUGAUGAAGGUCUUCGGAUCGUAAAACUCUGUUAUUAGGGAAGAACAAAUGUGUAAGUAACUAUGCACGUCUUGACGGUACCUAAUCAGAAAGCCACGGCUAACUACGUG
rnacentral:rRNA from 1 species